AAUAGAUACCCAGGUAGUCCACCCCGUAAACGUUGGGAACUAGUUGUGGGGUCCUUUCCACGGGAUUCCGUGACGCAGCUAAACGCAUUAAGUUCCCCGCCUGGGGAGUACGGCCGCAAGGCUAAAACUCAAAGGAAUUGACGGGGACCCGCACAAGCGGCGGAGCAUGCGGAUUAAUUCGAUGCAACGCGAAGAACCUUACCAAGGCUUGACAUACACCAGAACACCCUAGAAAUAGGGGACUCUUUGGACACUGGUGAACAGGUGGUGCAUGGUUGUCGGCAGCUCGUGUCGUGAGAUGUUGGGUUAAGUCCCGCAACGAGCGCAACCCUCGUUCUAUGUUGCCAGCACGUAAUGGUGGGAACUCAUGGGAUACUGCCGGGGUCAACUCGGGAGGAAGGUGGGGAUGACGUCAAAUCAUCAUGCCCCUUAUGUCUUGGGCUUCACGCAUGCUACAAUGGCCGGUACAAAGGGCUGCAAUACCGUGAGGUGGAGCGAAUCCCAAAAAGCCGGUCCAGUUCGGAUUGAGGUCUGCAACUCGACCUC
rnacentral:rRNA from 1 species